GCAAACUUGGUCAUUUAGAGGAAGUAAAAGUCGUAACAAGGUUUCCGUAGGUGAACCUGCGGAAGGAUCAUUGCCAAGGUAAAAUCCAAAAAACCUGCUCCGGCGCUGCGGUUCCGUGGCCCCUUGGACGGUCGAGCCCUGGUGUGUGGUGGUGGGCCUUGCUCUCGCCACUUCCUUCUCCUCCGUCCUGUGGGCCUGCUGACCGCUUCGCCGUAUGGCCUUCUUUUAUCUGAGCGAUUCCGGUCGCUCAGGUAAAAAGGCCGUCUGACCCAUGCCUAUCACGUCUUUUUUUUCUUUUCUCUCCGUUUCACGGUUGUGGAAGGAAAUAAAAGCAAAGUUUGCCUGAACUUUCAAUUAUUUUUUUUUUGCUUUUGCAAAUAAUACAAAACAACUUUCAACAACGGAUCUCUUGGCUCUCGCAUCGAUGAAGAACGCAGC
rnacentral:misc_RNA from 1 species